UUUUUUUUUUUUUUUUUUUUUUUUUUUCAAAUG
rnacentral:ribozyme from 1 species